ACCAACAGGGAUUGCCUCAGUAACGGCGAGUGAAGCGGCAAAAGCUCAAAUUUGAAAUCCCCCCGGGGAGUUGUAAUUUGAAGAUUGCGUCUUGGAGGCGACCGUGUCUAUGUUCCUUGGAACAGGACGUCACAGAGGGUGAGAAUCCCGUGCGGCACGGCCCCCGGCUCCUUAUAAGGCGCUCUCGACGAGUCGAGUUGUUUGGGAAUGCAGCUCAAAGUGGGUGGUAAAUUCCAUCUAAAGCUAAAUACAGGCGAGAGACCGAUAGCGAACAAGUACAGUGAUGGAAAGAUGAAAAGCACUUUGAAAAGAGAGUGAAACAGCACGUGAAAUUGUUGAAAGGGAAGGGCAUGCCGUCAGAUUGUCAGUGUGGGUAAGAAGCGGGGUACAAAGACUGUGGAACGUGGCCCUCGGGUGUUAUAGCCGCAGUUCAUGCCCCGUCUCUUUCCGAGGCCUGCUUUGAGGACACCGACGUAAUGACGGUACGCCGC
rnacentral:rRNA from 1 species